rnacentral:rRNA from 1 species
CCAACUUUUAAAGGCUUCUGCACCUUUGAGACAUUCUAGUCCAACAUCGAGGUCACAAACCCUCUUUUUAAUAACAACUCACAAAGAAGAUUAAGCUGUUAUCCCUACGGUAACUUUUUCCGUCAAUCACUAAAAGUGGAUCAAAAUAAAUUUAUAACUUAAAAUAAAGGAAGUUUUAGUUGUUCCUUAAUCGCCCCAAUCAAAUUUUAAAUAAGUUAACUAACACUCUUAAAAAUUAAGCUCAUAGGGUCUUCUCGUCUUUUAAUGGAAUCUAAGAUUCUUCACUUAGAAAAUAAAUUCAAGAAAAAUUUUAAGAGACAGCAAAACCUUUGUCUAACCUUUCAUACAAGCCUCUAAUUAAGAGGCAAAUGAUUAUGCUACCUUUGCACAGUCAAAGUACUGCGGCCGUUAAA